CCUGUCAGCUAAUGGGCGCACACUCCGCAGAACUAAAACUGCAUAAGUGACAGGGUACUUAAAGAAGCGUUUGGGCUAUAAAGCGCGGUGAAAACCUGCAAAGUACAUAGGGUAAAUAAAUUUAGCAUUGAACCGUCAGAAAUAGCCUUCUGGCGGUUUCUU
rnacentral:sRNA from 20 species